rnacentral:rRNA from 1 species
AACGAACGCUGGCGGCAGGCUUAACACAUGCAAGUCGAACGCCCCGCAAGGGGAGUGGCGCACGGGUGAGUAACGCGUGGAUAUCUGCCUUUUGGUUCGGAAUAACCCCGGGAAACUGGGGCUAAUACCGGAUGGUUCCUACGGGAUAAAGAUUUAUCGCCAAAAGAUGAGUCCGCGUACGAUUAGCUAGUUGGUGAGGUAAUGGCUCACCAAGGCGACGAUCGUUAGCUGGUCUGAGAGGACGAUCAGCCACACUGGGACUGAGACACGGCCCAGACUCCUACGGGAGGCAGCAGUGGGGAAUAUUGGACAAUGGGGGCAACCCUGAUCCAGCCAUGCCGCGUGAGUGAUGAAGGCCUUCGGGUUGUAAAACUCUUUUGGCGGGGACGAUGAUGACGGUACCCGCAGAAUAAGCCCCGGCUAACUUCGUG